CCCUGGGUAGUUUAACAAAAAUACAACGCUGAAGUUGUUGGGUUGGUCUGUACGGCCUCUGGGGG